GGCCUGGGUUUGGAUUUAAGGCCUGGAUGAGGUCUUAGAAAGGAGAUUCUGACACAAGCUACAACAUGGAUGAAUCUUAAGGACAUUAUGAUGUCUCUAACGUCAGAGAGUUCUUUGUACGAUGCAAGCCCCUGGAGGGUGAAGCUACUUCUGCCCAGCUCUCUUUGCACAACAUUACAAGCAAGUGGACACUGAGAGGAUUGUUGAUGCUCACAGUGGUGGUGCCUCCUCUACUGCAAAAAGAAUUAUAUAUAUAAAGGAUCUUCUCCAAACCCCACACUCCACUCCCACUCAGGACAAUCCCUGAUGAGCUACAGGCACUCAGGAAAUGUUUGGGCCAUGAAUAAAUACAUGAAGUAAAGUCUGUAACAUUUAACAAGUCAGGAGCAGCACCCAAUUAGCCACUCUUAGUUCUUUUUUUUUCCCAGCUUUAUGAACGUGUGAUUGACAAAUAAAAAUCGUGUAUGUUGAAGGUG